rnacentral:rRNA from 1 species
GACGAACGCUGGCGGCGUGCUUAACACAUGCAAGUCGAACGGAAAGGCCCUGCUUUUGUGGGGUGCUCGAGUGGCGAACGGGUGAGUAACACGUGAGUAACCUGCCCUUGACUUUGGGAUAACUUCAGGAAACUGGGGCUAAUACCGGAUAGGAGCUCCUGCUGCAUGGUGGGGGUUGGAAAGUUUCGGCGGUUGGGGAUGGAUUCGCGGCUUAUCAGUUUGUUGGUGGGGGAGGGGCUUACCCAGGCUUUGACGGGUCGCCGGCCUGAGAGGGUGACCGGCCACAAUGGGACUGAGAUACGGCCCAGACUCCUACGGGAGGCAGCAGUGGGGAAUAUUGCACAAUGGGCGGAAGCCUGAUGCAGCAACGCCGCGUGCGGGAUGACGGCCUUCGGGUUGUAAACCGCUUUCGCCUGUGACGAAGCGUGAGUGACGGUAAUGGGUAAAGAAGCACCGGCUAACUACGUG